rnacentral:rRNA from 1 species
UACGUAGGGUGCGAGCGUUAAUCGGAAUUACUGGGCGUAAAGCGAGCGCAGGCGGUUUGCUAAGACCGAUGUGAAAUCCCCGGGCUUAACCUGGGAACUGCAUUGGUGACUGGCAGGCUAGAGUAUGGCAGAGGGGGGUAGAAUUCCACGUGUAGCAGUGAAAUGCGUAGAGAUGUGGAGGAAUACCGAUGGCGAAGGCAGCCUCCUGGGCCAAUACUGACGCUCAUGCACGAAAGCGUGGGGAGCAAACAGG